AACGCACAUUGCGCCCACUGGUAUUCCGGUGGGCAUGCCUGUUCGAGCGUCAUUAUCCUCCCUCAAACCCCGUGUUUGGUGUUGGGCCCGCGUUCCUGCGAAGGAACUGGCCUCAAAGACAAUGACGGCGUCCGCGGGACCCUCGGUGCAACGAGCUUUCAGGAGCACGCGCCGAGUUUCAAGGUCCCCCCGGGCCGGUCUAACCCUUUUUUUACUUAUAAGGUUGACCUCGGAUCAGGUAGGAAUACCCGCUGAACUUAA
rnacentral:misc_RNA from 4 species